ACAUGCAAGUCGAGCGAACAGAUAAGGAGCUUGCUCCUUUGACGUUAGCGGCGGACGGGUGAGUAACACGUGGAUAACCUACCUAUAAGACUGGGAUAACUUCGGGAAACCGGAGCUAAUACCGGAUAACAUAUUGAACCGCAUGGUUCAAUAGUGAAAGGCGGCUUUGCUGUCACUUAUAGAUGGAUCCGCGCCGUAUUAGCUAGUUGGUAAGGUAACGGCUUACCAAGGCAACGAUACGUAGCCGACCUGAGAGGGUGAUCGGCCACACUGGAACUGAGACACGGUCCAGACUCCUACGGGAGGCAGCAGUAGGGAAUCUUCCGCAAUGGGCGAAAGCCUGACGGAGCAACGCCGCGUGAGUGAUGAAGGUCUUCGGAUCGUAAAACUCUGUUAUCAGGGAAGAACAAAUGUGUAAGUAACUGUGCACAUCUUGACGGUACCUGAUCA
rnacentral:rRNA from 1 species